AAUGGACAGGAUGAGCACACCAACCGCAAUAUCAAGACUGCACUAGCCAAAUACUGUGGGGAGGAUCAAAACGACUGGGACAUCCAUCUACGGGGAGUAGUAGCAGGCAUCAACACAUCCAAACAGAGAUCUACAAAGUAAACACCCUAUUGUGCUCUGUUUGGAAGACACCCCCGCACACCAGGUGUAAUAAACAACACAACACAAGAAAAAGGGGAUGAUGACAAACGUGUCGUGGUGAUUGAGGAGACAGAAGAAGACCUGGAGGCCAAGGCUGCAGACAUUGCAGAUCUCCAUGCAAAGAUUUACCAGAACAUUAAAAACGCGCAGGACAGACAAAAGAAGGCGUAUGAGACAAAAAAAAGAGGGAACUUGAAAUCCUUCCACUUCAAAAUUGGUGAUGAGGUCCUCAAAGCAAAUAAAAGAAAGGAAGGCCGAAAAGGAGGGCGACUUGAAGCCAAUUGGUCUGGACCAUACGUCAUUACCUCCAUUUCAGAAAAGGGUGUGGCAACGCUGUCCAGCAAAACAGGUGCUCAGCUGAAACAAAACACAAAUGUUUCACAGCUGAAGCCUUUCAUACGCCCUACAUUGAGAGGUAUUAGGAUUAGCAAUUUAAAGACUCGCUGUACUUUCACAGUCAUAG